CCUGGCGGCCGUAGCGCGGUGGUCCCACCUGACCCCAUGCCGAACUCAGAAGUGAAACGCCGUAGCGCCGAUGGUAGUGUGGGCUCUCCCCAUGCGAGAGUAGGGAACUGCCAGGC
rnacentral:rRNA from 1 species